UCCUGAAGUCUAUGCAGAGACCAAAGGGAUCAUCCCUCUGCUGAGUAAAGAGUUAAGAUGUUCAAAGACAAAGGGCUUCAAGGUGAUGUUGAUUCUGCAUGAAGGUAAAGGGCUUCAGCAUGUGGUCACUGUUGGUAUGAGAGGAGGAGAAGGCUACCAGCAUGGUGGAAAAAGACACUACAAAUAAGAGGACGACCCGCAGGACAAAAGACCUUGAACUGAAACGUGAAGAUUCAAACCUAGAACACUUGAAUAUAAGCUAUGUAGAACAAGGAGCCUGUCCAAAGAAAGGAUUCCUGAUGGGACAUUUCCUGUUCACAUUGCUGUCUUUCUCAUGAGAAUCCACUCUGAAAUCCUGUGCCUCCUUGUGGACUCUGCCAGAUGGUGGCAUCCAACUGGACCCUGACUGAGCAAAGAGCCAAUGAUGUGAGACAGUACUGGUGCUGCUGGAGCGCAAGACAUAAUCCACAGCUAGCACUCAUGGUACAAGAACCACAGCAAGAAUAAAAAUACUUGCAUGGUUGCUUGUGGCUACGCCAAAUGAAAAUAAUGCAAUUGAUCUCAAGAAUGCAAAGACACUUCAAGAGCUUGAUUCUGUUUUGGCUAAUGCAUGUUAAAUUAUACAUGUGGGGUCUGUACCUAUGAAAAGAUUUCCUGAGAAGUGUUAAGCAUAUCUGAUGUUUAUAGAGAAAGCUUGGGAUAACUGAAAGAUAUUUAGUACUCUCUACAGUUGCACUUGGAAUAGCUGUUCUGCCAAGGGUGCUCUUGGCCUAAACUUCUACUCCCAUCCAUCUUGAGUGAAGAACCUUGUAUGAGAGGGUGGAUAUUGUUAAAGUUUUUAAACACAAAAAGAUCCUCCAAAAUUAAAGAAAGAUGGAUUUCCCUACUCAAUAGGAGUCAAUUACCAGCUAGUUCUAGAGAAAUAACCUAUAAACUAUUGAAGGGACAAAAAUACCUCCUUUUUCCCCCAAGCAAAAUGACCAGUUUUUGGAAGUACCUUUUAUUCCUGACAAGUUGGCAGAAGCUUUACAGGGAAUUGAUAAGAGAAUGGCAGUACUGUCCUUUAGAUUAAGGAAUUUGGUACUCUUGUCCAGUUAUGGUAAUGCCUGACUGGCUGAGUGCAGCCACUGAAGCCUCUUAGUGCCACAUGAAUAAAUUCAAAGCGAGCCCUGUCCUGGUAGGGAGCACAAGGCUGUGUUCUUUCAGAAAAAGCUCUAGAGACAAUCUCAGAGUGUUUCUUGUGAAAUUAAAUGUAUGCAUGAAUUCCUGCUACUGUUAAAGUGAUACCCAUUUCCCUACAUUUCACAAAAGAUUUUAUGUAUUACUAAUCUUAGUUGAUCCCAUUAUUAGAUAAUAAAUGCAGAUGGUGGAAAAUUGCCAGAGGCUGGAGUUUCACAAGCAUCAUCACAUGCUGGGAUUUCUGGUUUUGUCCCUAAAGACACUGUCCAGAAAGCUGUUGCCUUUGCAGGAGCAGAGACUUGGCCAUGUACUUUUACAACAGCAGGUGUGCAUUUGGGGGGUUUUAAGACCUCUAGUGGUCUGUUUGGAAGAAAUUAGUAACAGCUAAAGAAUACAAAAUUUCCUCAGAAUACAAAAAUCAAAAUACUCAAAGGCAAUGUAGAACAUAAAUUCUUACAAUUUUCUGCAUUUCUGAGGUGAUUUGAUAUACUCAUUACACAAUGGCAGCAACAUAGGCAAGCAGGUUAAAAUAUGUUUAAAAGCUCCCUAUUACAUCUCAAAGAACCACCACAGGAAAACUAACAGUUUGUCUGAAAAUGGAUAGAGGUAACUCAGAACAAAUUUUUCUUAUUCCAGAAUCACUCUCCUGCCACUUGGUCAGGACAGUUGUUCAGCAAUAGCUGCAGAACAGCUGUACUAAGAUAAUACCCCAGAGGUAAACCUGCCACUGGACAGAUGACUAUUUUUUUUCUAUUUCCAUAUUGUUGGCUAAAACCAGGGGGAAUAUAAUUCAGUUACUCAUCAUAUCUGAAUAUCGUACAGUUACUCAUCAUAUCUGUGAGUCUCCCAUCACAAUCCAGAUCUCAAAAUGCAAGAGAAGAUGCCUGUAGGUUGUGAGAGGUGAGAGCCAGCGUUACUAAAGAGAAGUCCUUGUGACUGUACUUCACAGUGACAAAAUUCACACUUAUGCUCCCAUAUUCAAGUACUUUCAGUUCCAAAUACUACUCAGGAAAUGUGGUUUAAUUUGUGCUUGUUGUUUCUUUCCUAAUGACCAAUUGUUACUUUUUCACCUGAAAUCACUGUUUAUAUCAUUCACUAGUUUAUCACCAAGAACACCUGUGUGGGAUCUGAAGGUGAUAAGGAAAUUUUCAAUACAUCAGUGUUUCCUAUUAGCAAGGUGUAAGCAUGUAUAGAAGUCACUAUCUGUCUCCUAUUUAAGUAAGAUAAGGUAAUUAUAAAAUGGGGUGUGUUCUACCUAUAGUCAAUAUGUAAAAUCCCACCUGAAAAGAUAAAUACUUGGAAACUGUAAAUUAAAUGUAAAAACAAUGUCCCAAAAGUGUUUACUAAGGGAUUAUAUCAUGCAUUUGUGUUCCAGAGCAAAUCUUGUUUCAUUUUCUUUUUUUCUAUAACCAUUAUUAAUGGCCAUACCACAGUGAGGUAUUCACUUAACGUCGCACUUCUUAGGGAUUGUGUUUGGGCAACUUCUGGAUUUUAUAUUGGAUUAGUGCUUGCAAGGUUGUAUGGUUGCAUACAAAUGUAGGGAGAAUCCAAAAUAUAAUAAAGUGGU